UAUCAGCUUGUUGGUGGGGUAAUGGCCUACCAAGGCACUGACGGGUAGUCGGCGUGAGAGCGCGACCGGCCACAUCGGGACUGAGACACUGCCCGGACACCUACGGGUGGCUGCAGCAACGAAUAUUGGACAAUGGACGAAAGUCUGAUCCAGCGACGCCGCGUGGAGGAUGAAGUCCCUCGGGAUGUAAACUCCAAUAGUUUGUCAGGAAGCAAUCCGGCCGAAUAAGCCGGUGCGUUGACCAGCAUACGAAAGGGGUGGCUAACUCCGUGCCAGCAGCCGCGGUAACACGGGGACCCCUAGCGUUGUUCGGAAUUACUGGGCUUAAAGCGGGUGUAGGCGGAGCGGUAAGUACCUUGUGAAAGCCCGGGCUCAACCCGGGAAUGGCUGGGUAUACUGUCGUUCUUGAGGCAGGCAGGGGUCACUGGAACCUUAGGUGGAGCGGUGAAAUGCGUAGAGAUCUAAGGGAACGCCUGUGGCGAAAGCGGGUGACUGGGCCUGUUCUGACGCUGAGACCCGAAAGCGUAGGGAGCGAACGGGAUUAGAUACCCCGGUAGUCUACGCCGUAAACGAUGCGCACUAGGUUCGAGGGCUUCUGACAGUCUUCGUGCCGAAACAAAAGCGAUAAGUGCGCCGCCUGGGGAGUACGGCCGCAAGGCUAAAACUCAAAGGAAUUGACGGGGGCUCACACAAGCGGUGGAGCAUGUGGAUCAAUUCGAAACAACGCGCAGAACCCUACCUGGGUUUGACAUGUACGGAUGCCCUCGGUGAAAGUCGAGUAAGCUGCCUUCGGGUGAAACGUGCACAGGUGCAUGGCUGUCGUCAGCUCGUGCUGUGAAGUGUCGGGUUAAGUCCCUUAACGAGCGAAACCCUUGUCGCUAGUUGCCAGCGGGUAAAGCCGGGAACUCUAGCGAGACUGCCGGCGUUAAGCCGGAGGAAGGCGGGGAUGACGUCAAGUCAUCAUGGCCUUUAUGCUCAGGGUGUCACACGUGCUACAAUGGGGCGUACAGAGCGAAGCGAGGCCGUGAGGCGGAGCAAAUCGCACAAAACGUCCCUCAGUUCGGAUUGGGGUCUGCAAUUCGACCCCAUGAAGUCGGAAUCGCUAGUAAUCGCGUAUCAGCCAUGACGCGGUGAAUAUGUUCCUGAGCCUUGUACACACCGCCCGUCAAGUCAUGGGAAUCGGGAGUUCCCGAAGUCGCAGCGUUUCGGCUGUGCCGACGGAAAGCCCGGUGACUGGGACUAAGUCGUAACAAGGUA
rnacentral:rRNA from 1 species